GCAUAUCAAUAAGCGGAGGAAAAGAAACCAACAGGGAUUGCCCUAGUAACGGCAGUGAAGCGGCAACAGCUCAAAUUUAGAAAUCUGGCGUCUUCGGCGUCCGAGUUGUAAUUUGCAGAGGGCGCUUUGGCAUUGGCAGCGGUCCAAGUUCCUUGGAACAGGACGUCACAGAGGGUGAGAAUCCCGUACGUGGUCGCUAGCCUUUACCGUGUAAAGCCCCUUCGACGAGUCGAGUUGUUUGGGAAUGCAGCUCUUAAUGGGAGGUAAAUUUCUUCUAAAGCUAAAUACUGGCCAGAGACCGAUAGCGCACAAGUAGAGUGAUCGAAAGAUGAAAAGCACUUUGGAAAGAGAGUUAAAAAGCACGUAGAAAUUGUUGAAAGGGAAGCGCUUGCAGCCAGACUUGCCUGUAGUUGCUCAUCCGGGUUUCUACCCGGUGCACUCUUCUAUAGGCAGGCCAGCAUCAGUUUGGGCGGUUGGAUAAGGUCUCUGUCAUGUACCUCUCUUCGGGGAAGAACUUAUAGGGGAGACGACAUGCAAACCAGCCUGGACUGAGGUCCGCGCAUCUGCUAGGGAUGCUGGCGUAAUGGCUGUAAGCGGCCCGUUCUUGAAGCCACGGACCAGA
rnacentral:rRNA from 1 species